UUUAUCAGAAAGAAGAACGUGGAAGCCCAAAUCCAUCUCUCAGCCUUUGGAAGGAAAGGAACUAAAAGAGCAGCCUUGAACUUGGGCGACACGUCAGCACAGCUGUGGUUAGCGGAACUGAAACAGCUGAGCGGGCGCGUGCGUGCAGCAGGAGCGCUGUCUGCACGAGCACAGGGAGCAAACCCUACCUCACUCCUUCAAAGUCCUGCUCUGGCUUCUGCUUUUUGCUCUGGGGAGAACCUACAACAGCAGAGAGACACAUUUGCAUGGGGCUGCGCCAUCCACACGGAACUCAGCAGCGUCUUGUGCACUGGGUCCCAAACAGGCUACCUCGCUUUGGGACCUGCACCGCCUGAGCUGGAGCCUGAUCACAAGGUUGAGAGCCACGGUUGUAGAAACUGCGUCCCCACAUCACUGUUACGUUUCUACUGAGAAAGCAGACUGGAAACACACAUGCAAGUCUUGCCUGACAGCUCCAUGUGUGACAGGCACCUUCAAGACUUGGACCUGACUACCUGUGACC